UCAGGAUAUAGUUAAUGUUUAUUCUAAGGAUUUACUUUCAGAGAAGGGCAUAAUUUACGUGGCAGCUGAGGAGCUUUUGCAACAUUAAAUAGAGAGGGGCACUGCCUGUAUGCUGCUUCCUUCUGAUCUGUUAGCACAGGCACUGAGGGUGCCCUGUCUAAUGUGCCGCAGCCAAAUCCCGUGUUAGUGCUGACUGAUAGCAUCCCAAGACUUCAGUUGUCACCUUAUCUAACUGGAAGGAAAUUGGGCUGAGUGACUUAAAGGACUCAGUGAUUUACCCAUUCAUACAGCUGACUUUUGAGAAUGAACCAGAGGAUGACAAUGUCAACUAAAGGUCUGAUCCAAUGCCAUUCAGUUUUCUGAUAAAAUGGUUCUUCAAAAUGGGCUUGGAUUUAACUCUCCAUAUCUACCUCUUGCCUCCUGUAUUUUGGAAGGUUUGAAAACCACUGCCAGGCUCUACCGUGAGAAAGAAUAUAAUUCUUGCUGCCUUAGUUUACCCAGUUCUGUUUGACAAGUGCUUCACAGAGGAGUUGCAAGGCCAAUGCAGUUCAGUGUUUGGGAAGAUCAUCAGAGAUCCCUGAUGAAAGAUGCUGUGCAACUUAAUGUUAUUGUAUUUUUCCUCACAGAUUUAUGAAAAAUUAUUUUAAAAGCUUCAUUCCUUCUGUUUGGUAGAAAUAAAUCAUUCACAACUGGUAACA
rnacentral:lncRNA from 1 species